rnacentral:pre_miRNA from 1 species
UGAGUACUCCCUCCGUUCGAAAUUACUUGUCACAGAAAUGGAUGUAUCUAGAUGUAUUUUAGUUCUAGAUACAUCCAUAUCCAAGACAAGUAAUUCCGAACGGAGGGAGUAGUAA